rnacentral:rRNA from 1 species
AACGAACGCUGGCGGCAGGCCUAACACAUGCAAGUCGAGCGAAGCCUUCGGGCUUAGCGGCGGACGGGUGAGUAACGCGUGGGAACGUGCCCUUUGGUACGGAAUAGCCCCGGGAAACUGGGAGUAAUACCGUAUGUGGUCGAGAGACGAAAGAUUUAUCGCCAAAGGAUCGGCCCGCGUUGGAUUAGGUAGUUGGUGGGGUAAUGGCCUACCAAGCCGACGAUCCAUAGCUGGUUUGAGAGGAUGAUCAGCCAAACUGGGACUGAGACACGGCCCAGACUCCUACGGGGGGCAGUAGUGGGGAAUCUUAGACAAUGGGGGAAACCCUGAUCUAGCCAUGCCGCGUGAUCGAUGAAGGCCUUAGGGUUGUAAAGAUCUUUCAGUGGGGAAGAUAAUGACUGUACCCACAGAAGAAGCCCCGGCUGACUCCGUGCCAGCCGCCGCAGUAAAAC